rnacentral:lncRNA from 1 species
UAAAAGAGUAGUUAUUGUUGCAAACUCCAUUAGAAAUUUGAAUUGAUAUCAGUUUUUGAAAAAGGGAAACGGGGAUGUGAAAAAAAAGGGGGGGGGUUAAAUUUUUCUCAUUUCAGAUUUCAUAAUAAAAAGAAAAUUUCUUCAAAUAUUUUUUUGAGAGGAUUAAUAUUCAACAGCAUAGUGAAUUGCUCAAAGGCAAAAAAAAACUUUUAAGUUCAUUAGACCACAUUCAUUCUGUGUCAGAAACCUAUGCUGUGUCAACUAUUUAAUUUUAGAUUUAAAAAGUUUGAAGAAGAAAUCUUUAAUUGAUUUGUAGAAUCUUGACAUUUGUUUUGUGUAAAAAAAACCCAUGUAAUGUCAAAAAUUUGAUCACAAUCCAAAUUCAGAGCUGUAUCACGCUUGAAUGUUUUGUCCAUACUUGCCCCAACUGUUCAGGGUUCGACCUCUGCGGUCGUAUAAAGCUGCGCCCUGCGGAGCACCUGGUUGUGUUUUGGUCUGUUUUUCUCAUACUUUAUGCAAUAGGUCUACUAUAUUUGUUGUAUGGAAUGAUUGUAAAGUGAACAUGUCUAGCGGACAGAUGUCAUCUGACCUUGACCUCAUUUUCAUGGUUCAGUGGUCAAAGUUAAGUUUUUCAGUUUUGGUCUUUUUAUCUGAUACUAUACGCCAUAGGUCAACUAUAUUUAGUGUAUGGAAAUAUUUUAUGAUUUAUAUAUGAGUCGCGCAGGUUUAAUUUGACCUUGACCUCAUUUUCACGGUUCAUUGCUCAGUGUUAAGUUUUUGUGUUUUGGUCUAUUUUUCUUAAACUAUAAGUAUUAGGUCAACUAUAUUUGUUUUAUGGAAGCAUUGUUAGCUGUACAUGUCAGCCUGGCAUGGUUCAUCUGACCUUGACCUCAUUUUCAUGGUUCAUUGGUCUUUGUUUAGUUAUCUUGGUUAAUGUAACGUUUAUGUGACAGAUGUAAUAAAGCUUUAUACUUAGGACUAUCAACAUAAUAUCAAUGAUUAGUAAAGAAGGCGAGACAUUUCAGUGUGUGCACUCUUGUUUUAUAA